GAUGAACGCUAGCGGCAGGCCUAACACAUGCAAGUCAGGGGUAACAUAGAAAAGCUUGCUUUUCUGAUGACACCGGCGCACGGGUGCGUAACGCGUAUACAACCUACCUUUUAGCGGGGAAUAGCCCAGGGAAACUUGGAUUAAUGCCCCAUAGUAUAUAGACUUCUCCUGAAGUUUAUAUUAAACAUUUAUGGCUAUUAGAUGGGUAUGCGUCCUAUUAGUUAGUUGGUAAGGUAACGGCUUACCAAGGCAGCGAUAGGUAGGGGUCCUGAGAGGGGGAUCCCCACACUGGUACUGAGACACGGACCAGACUCCUACGGGAGGCAGCAGUGAGGAAUAUUGGACAAUGGGCGAGAGCCUGAUCCAGCCAUGCCGCGUGCAGGAAGACUGCCCUAUGGGUUGUAAACUGCUUUUACAGAGGAAGAACCACCCCACGUGUGGGGGUUUGACGGUACUCUGCGAAUAAGGAUCGGCUAACUCCGUG
rnacentral:rRNA from 1 species